CUUCAUUUUCAUUUUCAUUUUCAUUUUCUUUUAUUUUUCUCCUUCUAAUUUCUUGAUAUUUUGGAGAUCAAACCUAGAGCACAACGAGAUUCAAUCAAAGGAUUUGAGCAAGAAAAGUUGAUGAUAGUAGCUUAGGAAGUUGUGAACCGGCAAAAGAUGAGGUGACAACUAAGGUAUGAACAGUACUUCUUGAAUGAACGGUUAGAUGAAAUGCCGAAGACAUUCAACAUUUCGCAUAUUCGAAGAAAUUUAUGUGUCCCGUUGUAUGCUUAUGCCAAGAAGCAGCAAGAUGAGGACUUUGACACGGACAAUGAAUGGUCAUCAAAGGAAGUAGAUUAGUGAUAUGUUGAUGAGAAGAGAUAGAGAUGAAUGUAUAGGACUGACAAGAAAAUAGUUAUUGUGUUUAAAUUCUGACAAGAUAGGUUUUGACUGCUCUAACAGUUUUUAUUUUUAGCUUUUGUGGUCAUGGUGCGUAUAAUUAAUGAUAAAUUGUCACUUUUUUGUUAUGAAGUGACUACUUGGGCAUGAAUUUUAACA